rnacentral:rRNA from 1 species
CCUACGGGAGGCAGCAGUGGGGAAUAUUGCACAAUGGGCGAAAGCCUGAUGCAGCAACGCCGCGUGAGUGAUGAAGGCCUUCGGGUUGUAAAGCUCUGUCUUUGGGGACGAUAAUGACGGUACCCAAGGAGGAAGCCACGGCUAACUACGUGCCAGCAGCCGCGGUAAUA